rnacentral:rRNA from 1 species
ACUACGGGGGGCUGCAGUGAGGAAUAUUGGUCAAUGGACGCAAGUCUGAACCAGCCAUGCCGCGUGCAGGAUGACGGCUCUAUGAGUUGUAAACUGCUUUUGUACGAGGGUAAACCCCGAUACGUGUAUCGGGUUGAAAGUAUCGUACGAAUAAGGAUCGGCUAACUCCGUGCCAGCAGCCGCGGUAAUACGGAGGAUCCGAGCGUUAUCCGGAUUUAUUGGGUUUAAAGGGUGCGUAGGCGGAUCGUUAAGUCAGUGGUCAAAUUGAGGGGCUCAACCCCUUCCCGCCAUUGAAACUGGCGCUCUUGAGUGGAAGAGAAGUAUGCGGAAUGCGUGGUGUAGCGGUGAAAUGCAUAGAUAUCACGCAGAACCCCGAUUGCGAAGGCAGCAUGCCGGCUUCCGACUGACGCUGAAGCACGAAAGCGUGGGGAUCGAACAGGAUUAGAUACCCCAGUAGUC